rnacentral:rRNA from 1 species
ACGAAGGGUGCAAGCGUUAUUCGGAGUUACUGGGCGUAAAGAGCGCGUAGGCGGUUUUUUAAGUCAUUUGUUAAAUCUCCCGGCUUAACCGGGAAUCAGCGAGUGAAACUGGAAGACUAGAGUGUAAGAGAGAGAAGUGGAAUUCUCGGAGUAGCGGUAAAAUGCGUAGAUCUCGAGAGGAACACCGGAGGCGAAGGCGGCUUCUUGGCUUACAACUGACGCUCAAGUGCGAAAGCGUGGGGAGCAAACAGGA